GACGAACGCUGGCGGCGUGCUUAACACAUGCAAGUCGAACGAAGUGGCGAACGGGUGAGUAACGCGUAAUCAACCUCCCCUUCAGAGGGGGACAACCCUUGGAAACGACUGCUAAUACCGCAUACUGAAGGCCGUGUUUGCGUCUGAUUAGCUCGUUGGGGGGGUAACGGCCAACCAAGGCGAUGGUCAGUCGCCGGGCUGAGGGGAUGAACGGCCACAGUGGGACUGAGACACGGCCCAGAAUCCUACGGGAGGGAGCAGUGGGGAAACUUCCGAAAUGGAAGAAAGUCUGACGGAGCAACGCCGCGGGAGUGAUGACGGCCUUCGGGUUGGAAAGCUCUGUUAAUCGGGACGCGGUACCGGAAUAGAAAGCCACGGCUAACUACGUGCCAGCAGCCGCGGUAAUAC
rnacentral:rRNA from 1 species